GACAGAGGCCUCAAGCGUUAGGCGGAAUCCCUGGGCUUAAAGCGUGUGUAGGCGGAUCGUUAAGUGUCUUGUGAAAUCCCACGGCUCACCCGUGGAACUGCUGGGCAUACUGGCGAUCUUGGGCCAACUAGGGGCAACUGGAACAAGCGGUGGAGCGGUGAAAUGCGUAGAUAUCGCGUGGAACGCCAACGGUGAAAACAGGUUGCUGGGGUUGUGCCGACGCUGAGACACGAAAGCCAGGGGAGCAAACGGG
rnacentral:rRNA from 1 species